rnacentral:rRNA from 1 species
AGAGUUUGAUCCUGGCUCAGGACGAACGCUGGCGGCGUGCCUAAUACAUGCAAGUCGAGCGAACAGAAGGGAGCUUGCUCCCGGAUGUUAGCGGCGGACGGGUGAGUAACACGUGGGUAACCUGCCUGUAAGACUGGGAUAACUCCGGGAAACCGGAGCUAAUACCGGAUAGUUCCUUGAACCGCAUGGUUCAAGGAUGAAAGACGGUUUCGGCUGUCACUUGCAGAUGGACCCGCGGCGCAUUAGCUAGUUGGUGGGGUAAUGGCUCACCAAGGCGACGAUGCGUAGCCGACCUGAGAGGGUGAUCGGCCACACUGGGACUGAGACACGGCCCAGACUCCUACGGGAGGCAGCAGUAGGGAAUCUUCCGCAAUGGACGAAAGUCUGACGGAGCAACGCCGCGUGAGUGAUGAAGGUUUUCGGAUCGUAAAGCUCUGUUGUUAGGGAAGAACAAGUGCGAGAGUAACUGCUCGCACCUUGACGGUACCUAACCAGAAAGCCACGGCUAACUACGUGCCAGCAGCCGCGGUAAUACGUAGGUGGCAAGCGUUGUCCGGAAUUAUUGGGGCGUAAAGGGCUCGCAGGCGGUUUCUUAAGUCUGAUGUGAAAGCCCCCGGCUCAACCGGGGAGGGUCAUUGGAAACUGGGAAACUUGAGUGCAGAAGAGGAGAGUGGAAUUCCACGUGUAGCGGUGAAAUGCGUAGAGAUGUGGAGGAACACCAGUGGCGAAGGCGACUCUCUGGUCUGUAACUGACGCUGAGGAGCGAAAGCGUGGGGAGCGAACAGGGAUUAGAUACCCUGGGUAGUCCACGCCCGUAAACCAUGAGUGCUUAGUGUUUAGGGGGUUUCCGCCCUUUAUGCUGCCUUAACGCAUUAAGCACUCCGCCUGGGGAGUACGUCGCAAGACUGAAACUCAAAGGAAUUGACGGGGGCCCGCACAAGCGGUGGAGCAUGUGGUUUAAUUCGAAGCAACGCGAAGAACCUUACCAGGUCUUGACAUCCUCUGACAACCCUAGAGAUAGGGCUUUCCCUUCGGGGACAGAGUGACAGGUGGUGCAUGGUUGUCGUCAGCUCGUGUCGUGAGAUGUUGGGUUAAGUCCCGCAACGAGCGCAACCCUUGAUCUUAGUUGCCAGCAUUUAGUUGGGCACUCUAAGGUGACUGCCGGUGACAAACCGGAGGAAGGUGGGGAUGACGUCAAAUCAUCAUGCCCCUUAUGACCUGGGCUACACACGUGCUACAAUGGACAGAACAAAGGGCUGCGAGACCGCAAGGUUUAGCCAAUCCCAUAAAUCUGUUCUCAGUUCGGAUCGCAGUCUGCAACUCGACUGCGUGAAGCUGGAAUCGCUAGUAAUCGCGGAUCAGCAUGCCGCGGUGAAUACGUUCCCGGGCCUUGUACACACCGCCCGUCACACCACGAGAGUUUGCAACACCCGAAGUCGGUGAGGUAACCUUUAUGGAGCCAGCCGCCGAAGGUGGGGCAGAUGAUUGGGGUGAAGUCGUAACAAGGUAGCCGUAUCGGAAGGUGCGGCUGGAUCACCUCCUU